UUUCCAAUCAAGAAAAGACCGAUCAAGCAUAAAGAACCCGUCAUGGGGCUGCUUGAUCGGCCGUAUGGGGAAACCUGUGCGUCUUGCGAAAGCGAGA
rnacentral:ncRNA from 1 species